rnacentral:tRNA from 1 species
AAACCUUUAAGUUACAUAAACUAUUAGCCUUCAAAGCUUACUACAAAUUACAAUAAGUUUAAGGUUUG